UAGGGAAUCUUCGGCAAUGGACGAAAGUCUGACCGAGCAACGCCGCGUGAGUGAAGAAGGUUUUCGGAUCGUAAAACUCUGUUGGCAGAGAAGAACGUUGGUGAGAGUGGAAAGCUCAUCAAGUGACGGUAACUACCCAGAAAGGGACGGCUAACUACGUGCCCG
rnacentral:rRNA from 1 species